rnacentral:rRNA from 1 species
UACGGAGGGUGCAAGCGUUAAUCGGAAUUACUGGGCGUAAAGCGCACGCAGGUGGCUGAGUCAGUCGAUUGUGAAAGCCCUGGGCUUAACCUGGGAAUUGCAGUCGAUACUACUUAGCUAGAGUAUGGGAGAGGGCAGUGGAAUUCCCGGUGUAGCGGUGAAAUGCGUAGAUAUCGGGAGGAACAUCAGUGGCGAAGGCGGCUGCCUGGCCCAAUACUGACACUCAGGUGCGAAAGCGUGGGGAGCAAACAGG